AGAGAGAGACAUGCGCGCAUAUCAAUAAGCGGAGGAAAAGAAACUAACAAGGAUUCCCUUAGUAACGGCGAGUGAAGCGGGAAGAGCUCAAAUUUGAAAUCUUCAAGGUUUUACCUUGACGAAUUGUAGUUUAAAGAAGUGUUUUCUGCUGAAGUUUUGGUAAAAGUUCUUUGGAAUAGGACAUCAUAGAGGGUGAGAAUCCCGUAUUUGACCAUUAUUUUCCAGCUUUGUGAUACACUUUCAAAGAGUCGGAUUGUUCGGGAAUGCAGUCCAAAAUGGGUGGUAAAUUUCAUCUAAAGCUAAAUAUUGGCGAGAGACCGAUAGCGAACAAGUACCGUGAGGGAAAGAUGAAAAGAACUUUGAAAAGAGAGUUAAACAGUACGUGAAAUUGUCAAAAGGGAAGCGUUUGACACCAGUGUUGUUUUCUCGAAAAUCAAUUAAAAAUGGCUCGAUUUUGUAUUGUUGAGACCUUAAAAGCUCACUGUACAUUUUUCGUGUCUUUUUUAAUGCACUUUUCGUUUAACAAGUCAACAUCAAUUUCUUUUGUUGUAAAAGGGUCAUUGGAAGGUGGCUUUCUUUUCGGAGAAAGUGUUUAUAGCCUUUGGCCUCUGCAAUCGGAGAGACUGAGGUCUGCAGCGUAGACUCUUCGGGGUUAGAUACAUUUGUGCUAAGUUAUAGCUUUUUAUAGACAACUUGUUGACUAUAAUUAGUCUUGUAGCUUACUCGCUUAUGCUAUUUUACCUACGCUUAGGAUGUUGAAGUCAUCGUAUCGCGC
rnacentral:rRNA from 1 species